AAACAAGUCAGCCCUCAUGAUCUCUUGAAACAAAGACAUGGUUGCAAGAUGGGAGUAACAAGGUAGUCAUAGUCAUAACAAGGUGGUCAUAUAAUCUUUUGAAACAAGAUGGUUAUAAACAAUUCUUUGAAACAAAGACAUGACUGCCAUUCCUGGAACAGGCAGUACUGAACUAUUUGUAGUUAAGAUUACAGGUGAGUCAUAGCCCAAUCCUUGAAAAACAGAAGUUUAAUCAUAAAUAGGAAUGGACCUCCUUUGUCUUUAUGAUAAGAUGGCUUUUAAGCCUAAGAUGGUUGCAGGCUGGAUCUUCAUUCCCUGCUUGUCUUCUGUGUCCCUGUGAAAUCUUUGGUAAGGUCUUAGCAUUCUUUAUCUGGGUGAAAACAAAAUUUGGAGCAUAUCAAAUGAUGAAAUCAUAAAUUAUACCUGUUUGGUUAGCAUAGAUAAAACCAAUAUUUUAAGGCCACAUAAUCUUGGUAUGCCAAUAAGUUCUUUAAGUACUUAUUUUGUCUCCUUUGCCAGGGAGUUAGUUCCAUUAGACCUAAUAUUCCGACCCUUUGUUGAGAACAAGAGAUGUAUUCUCCUCUAAACCUACUUCCUGCAAAAAUUAGGAUGCCACUGUUAGAGCCCAGUAAGGCUGGGGUAUUACCCAAAGGCCAGGGUGGGCUAGGGUAGUGAGGUAUUCAUCCGAAGCUGGUUUGCUGACCCAGAUGAAGAGACAGGAAGUAUCACAUCGACUAGACUGAUUUAUAUCAACUUUCAGCAAGUCCAGGACUUUUUGGUUUUGUUUGUGGAGCUGUUGUGGUGUAGAUCGCCUCUGGAGCAGUUUAUAGUCCCUAGAUUGGGAUCUGACAGAACCAGAAACCAGAUGUCACC
rnacentral:lncRNA from 1 species